UACGUAGGGUGCAAGCGUUGUCCGGAAUUAUUGGGCGUAAAGAGCUCGUAGGCGGUUUGUUGCGUCGGCUGUGAAAUCCCGAGGCUCAACCUCGGGUCUGCAGUCGAUACGAGCAAACUAGAGUGUUGCAGGGGAGACUGGAAUUCCUGGUGUAGCGGUGAAAUGACGCAGAUAUCAGGAGGGAACACCGGUGGCGAAGGCGGGUCUCUGGGGCAACAACUGACGCUGGAGGAAGCGAAAGCGUGGGGAGCGAACAGG
rnacentral:rRNA from 1 species